ACCCCCCUCCCUCCUCUCCCUCCCUCUUCUUGCACUAACUCGUAGGAAUUCUCUCUUUCUCUCUCUCUCUCUCUCUCUCUCUCUCUCUCUGCCCCUCCCCUUUAAACAUCAACCUCAAAUCUCUCGACCCACUUCUCCUUCUCCCUCUCCCUCCCUCUCUUUCUCUCUCUAGGCGGAGCUGCUGAUCAAAGUGACCAUCUUGUUUUGGAGCAGCAGGAGAGAGGAAGAGAGGAAGCGAGGAAUCAAGAUCUGCAUCUGCAUGUCAUUCUUGCAGCCCCCCUCCGCCCUUUCUUGAACCCAAUUCAGCUUCAGGAGGGUGGAGGAGAUUAACCUCCGGAGCGAUGCAGCAAGGAGGAGGGUCCCACUCCCACUACGGCGGCCCGCCUCCCCCGCAGAGCCCCCGCCGCAGCAGCAGCCACCGCCGCUGCGCCCCCGCCCACCUCCACGGCCGCUCCCCACCACCACAUGGUGGUUGAGGAGGCCUCCCCGAUAAGCAGCCGCCCGCCCGCGCCCUCCGGCCUGGACGAAUUCCUGCCGCUCUCGGGCGGCGACAUGGACGCCCUCGCCGCGGCGGCGGCGGCGGAUGUGGGCGGGAGCAGCGGGGGUGGCGGCGGGAACCGGUGGCCGCGGCAGGAGACGCUGGAGCUGCUCAGGAUCAGGUCCGAGAUGGACGCAGCGUUCCGGGACGCCACGCUCAAAGGUCCACUCUGGGAAGAUGUCUCCAGAAAGCUAGGUGAACUCGGAUACAGAAGAAGUGCCAAGAAAUGCAAGGAGAAGUUCGAGAACGUCCACAAGUACUAUAAGAGGACCAAGGAAGGCCGUGCUGGUCGUCAAGACGGCAAGACCUACAAGUUCUUCUCCGAGCUCGAAGCCCUCCACAACACCGCCGCCGGGGCCACCGUCGGAAUAUCAGCAGCUUCAAGUGGUGGUGGUGCUGCUUCUGGCACUGCAGCCCUGGGCGGUCUCUCGGUACCCCCAGUUUCGAUCGGGAUAUCGUUCGCCAACCCCGUCCCAAUCUCCACUGUCCGCGGCCAACCUCCUGUCUUGGCGCAUCCGCCGCCCCAUACCCACCACAUAUUUGCACCCACAACAGCACCCGGUCUGGCUACCAGGUCGGCAGCCACAGCGGCGAUGUCAGCUAGCCCGAUGGGAAUGAUCUUCUCGUCAAACAGUUCCUCCUCGUCUGGGAGAUCGGAGGAGGACGAUGAUGACGAGGAGGAUGAAGAGGAAGGUGAGCCAUCCACCACGGGCAGUAGCCGCAAGCGGAAGAGGGGGCCAGGAGAGACGAGUGGCAGCGGCGGCGGAAGCCGCCGUAAGAUGAUGGAGCUCUUUGAGGGACUGAUGAGGCAGGUGAUGCAGAAGCAGGAGGAGAUGCAGAAGAGGUUCUUUGAGGCCAUAGAGAAGAGAGAACAGGAUAGGUUGAUUAGAGAGGAGGCGUGGCGGCGGCAGGAGAUGAACAGGCUGGCCCGGGAGAACGAGAUCGCGGCUCAGGAGCGCGCCGCCUCCGCCUCAAGGGAUGCAGCCAUUGUCUCAUUCUUGCAGAAGAUCACAGGCCAGACGAUCCAUCUGCCGACCAUGCCGGCUACCAUGCUGGCAACUGUGACGACUAGUGUUCCGCCUCUCUCUCAGACCCCGCUGCCCAAAACACAGGUUCGACCAACCCAUGCUGCUCCUCAUCCACAACCGCCGAUGCCACCACCUCCAACGUAUCAAGAGCAACCGCAGCAGCAGCGACAGAACAUCGAGGUUGUCACGCACCCGCUGCCCGCUUCGACUGGAAUAAUCAUGGCCGUCCCGGAGCAGCAAGUGCCGCCACGGUCUCAAGAACUCAUCCUUAGUGGCGGAAGUGGAGGGGAGCCGUCAUCCUCUUCGAGGUGGCCGAAAGUGGAAGUGAUUGCGCUGAUAAAGCUGCGAAGUGGGCUUGAGUCGAGGUAUCAAGAGGCUGGCCCUAAGGGGCCGCUCUGGGAGGAAAUCUCUGCCGGCAUGGCGAGGAUGGGGUACAAGAGGAGCGCCAAGAGGUGCAAGGAGAAAUGGGAGAACAUCAACAAAUACUUCAAGAAAGUGAAGGAAAGCAACAAGAAGCGGCCCGAGGAUGCCAAGACCUGCCCGUACUUCCACGAGCUCGAUGCCCUUUAUAGGAAAAAGGAACUUGGUGGUGGUGGUGGCGGCGCCACCAGCGGCACAGCUGCCACCUCCGGGUCCAUGGGGUUUAGGGCCGAGCCGUCUCCGAGUACGGCGAACUUGGAAGCUCGCCCGGUAAUUGCUCAGGAUCAGCCGCCGCCGCCGCCACCGCCGCCGGCGGCGGCACCGGCACAGGCGGGUGAGCCCGAACGUAAAGAUGGAGGGGACAAUUCAGGGGCACAAGAGAGGACGGUCGAGGAAGGAAAUGGAGGAUCGCUUAAGAAGCCAGAAGACACCGUGAAAGAGCUCAUAGGGCAAGGACAGCAUCAAAAUCAACACUUGGACUCGGAUCAACAGCAUUUAAGGGUAAAUAGCGGUAAUUACAACGAUAAAAAGAUGGAGGAAGGCGACAGUGAUAAUAUAGAAGAUCAGGAGGAAAAUGAAUUGGAAGAGGAUGAUGAAGAAAACGAGGAGGAUGAAGAAUUGGAGGAGGAGAGGAAAAUGGCCUAUAAAAUCGAAUUCCAGAGGCCGAACGCAUCAGCGCCCCCAAAUGGCGGAGGGAAUGGGGCGCCGUCGUUUUUAGCCAUGGUUCAAUAGGCCUCCACCGGUGCGACAGCAGUUGGUGGUGGUGGCGGCAGUGGCAGUGGCGGAGGCGGAAUCCACCACCCUGCAAGAUUGUACCAUAUACACACAUAAAGUCGAGGAGGAAUUUUUCACCGGCGGAGUUCUUCGAAGGCACCAUUAGAGUUUCCAUCGCGACCGCCCCCCUCUCUCCAAUUCGUUUAAUUCAUUUGGUGAAUAAGAUGCAGCAACUUGGGAGGCAAAGUGGAAGGAAAAAUUGGCAUCGAGAAAGGAGGAGAAUAAAGCUUUUAGUGAAGAGGAAAGCAGCAUUUCAUUCUUGAAGAGGUGAGAGAGAGAGAAGAAGAAGAAGAAGAAGAAGAAGAAGAAGAAGAAGAAGAAGAAGAAGAAGAAG